UGGUAAUCAAGAUCCUCUCUUCAUGUCUCUUGAUCUUCACUGGACUAGAAGAACCUGUAGCUCUUCGAGCUGCAGUGGAAAGUGACCUGUUGUGUUUGUGGAAGCUCUGGAAUCCCGCAGGAGAAGGAUCACUCAGCACCACGGCAAUCUGCCAAGUACAACUUGUUCUGAAACACAGUGGCUCUGAGAAGUUGCCUUAUCAACUGAAACACAAUGUCAGCUUAGCAGGAGGAUCCAGACAUGAAAGAAGAAAGGCCCGAUCAAAAAAAAAGAGAGGCAGGUUGAUAUGCCAUUUCAAGGAAGAACUGGAUGGCCUCAGAAUUAUUUGAAACAGUGUUUACAGAGCUUAUGUAAGUCAAUAUUCAUUUUUUCACUGA